rnacentral:misc_RNA from 1 species
GUAUAUAUUAUAUAUAGGCACAACAUUCUAUUGACAUACAUUGGGGUAAAAUGAAGCAACAUAGACCUGAAAAGGCCUACAAAAAAUGCACAGGUGGAGAUAUAAAGAUGACAAGGUGUGCACAUGCUCCCUAGAGAACCAGCAACAACCCAUCAGGUUUAUUUCAAUAAUGAUCCUUCCGCAGGUUCACCUACGGAAA